UACGAAGGGGGCUAGCGUUGCUCGGAAUCACUGGGCGUAAAGCGCACGUAGGCGGAUUGCUAAGUCAGGGGUGAAAUCCCGGAGCUCAACUCCGGAACUGCCUUUGAUACUGGAGAUCUUGAGUCCGGGAGAGGUGAGUGGAACUCCGAGUGUAGAGGUGAAAUUCGUAGAUAUUCGGAAGAACACCAGUGGCGAAGGCGGCUCACUGGCCCGGUACUGACGCUGAGGUGCGAAAGCGUGGGGAGCAAACAGG
rnacentral:rRNA from 1 species